rnacentral:misc_RNA from 1 species
GAUGAAGAACGCAGCGAAAUGCGAUAAGUAAUGUGAAUUGCAGAAUUCAGUGAAUCAUCGAAUCUUUGAACGCAUCUUGCGCUCCUUGGUAUUCUGAGGAGCAUGCCUGUUUGAGUGUCAUUAAAUUCUCAACUACACUGACUUUGAAUUGGUGUGGCUUGGAUUUGGGGGGAAAAUUGUUGUGGGCUUUUUGUAUAGUCUGCUCCCCUGAAAUUGAUUAGCGGUACCUUUGUGGAACUGUCUACAGGUGUGAUAAUUAUCUACAUCUUAGACAUCUGCUGGAAUGCUGCUCUCUAAACCUUACUUGUAUUGACAAUCUUGACCUCAAAUCAGGUAGGACUACCCGCUGAACUUAAGCAUAUCAAGAAGCGGAGGA